UACGUAGGGGGGCUAGCGUUGUCCGGAUUUAUUGGGCGUAAAGAGCGUGUAGGCGGCCAGGUAGGUCUGGUGUGAAAACUCGAGGCUUAACCUCGAGAUGUCAUCGGAAACCGUCUGGCUAGAGUCCGGAAGAGGAGAGUGGAAUUCCUGGUGUAGCGGUGAAAUGCGCAGAUAUCGAGGAAGAACACCUAUGGCGAAGGCAGCUCUCUGGGACGGUACUGACGCUGAGACGCGAAAAGCGUGGGGAGCAAACAGG
rnacentral:rRNA from 1 species